rnacentral:lncRNA from 1 species
CAUUUCUCCAAAGAUGUCAUACACAUAGCCAACAAGCACAUGGAAAGAGGUAAAUAUCAAUGAUCAUUAGGGAAAUGCAAAUCAAAACCAGUAAGGCAGCCAGGCAUGGUGGUGCAUGCCUGUAAUCCCAGCAACUCUGAAGGCUGAGACAGGAGUUCAAAGCCAGCCUCAGCAACUUAGCAAGGUCCUAAGCAACUGAGACCCUGUCUCAAAAGAUAGUGUAAAAAAGGGCUGAGGAUGUGGCUUAGUGGUUAAGCACAUCUGGGUUCAAUCCCCAGUAACCCCCGCACCCUGAAAUAAAAAAACCCAAUAAGGUAUCAUCACACAGCCAUUAGGAUGGGUACUAAAAAAAUGAACAAUACCAAGUGUUAGCAAGGAUGUGGAGAAAUUAGAAUCUUUGCAUACUGUUGGUACAAAUGUAACAUGGUGCAGCUACUAUGAAAAACAAUAUGGUGAUUUCCCCAAAAUUUGAAAAUAGAAAUAUCAUAUAGUACAGAAAUUCCACUUCAUGGUGUACAUCUUAAACAAUUAAAAUAAGGGUCUUAAAGACUCUUAUUUAUAGCAGCACUAUUCACAACCAAGAGGUGGAAGUAAUCCAAG